rnacentral:rRNA from 1 species
UACGAAGGGGGCGAGCGUUGUUCGGAUUUACUGGGCGUAAAGAGCGUGUAGGCGGCCAGACAGGUCCGUUGUGAAAACUCGAGGCUCAACCUCGAGACGCCGAUGGAAACCGUCUGGCUAGAGUCCGGAAGAGGAGAGUGGAAUUCCUGGUGUAGCGGUGAAAUGCGCAGAUAUCAGGAAGAACACCCGUGGCUAAGGCGGCUCUCUAGUACGGUACUGACGCUGAGACGCGAAAGCGUGGGGAGCGAACAGG